rnacentral:rRNA from 1 species
GACGAACGCUGGCGGCGUGCUUAACACAUGCAAGUCGAACGGAAAGGCCCUGCUUCUGUGGGGUGCUCGAGUGGCGAACGGGUGAGUAACACGUGAGUAACCUGCCCUUGACUUUGGGAUAACUUCAGGAAACUGGGGCUAAUACCGGAUAGGAGCUCCUGCUGCAUGGUGGGGGUUGGAAAGUUUCGGCGGUUGGGGAUGGACUCGCGGCUUAUCAGCUUGUUGGUGGGGUAGUGGCUUACCAAGGCUUUGACGGGUAGCCGGCCUGAGAGGGUGACCGGCCACAUUGGGACUGAGAUACGGCCCAGACUCCUACGGGAGGCAGCAGUGGGGAAUAUUGCACAAUGGGCGGAAGCCUGAUGCAGCAACGCCGCGUGCGGGAUGACGGCCUUCGGGUUGUAAACCGCUUUCGCCUGUGACGAAGCGUGAGUGACGGUAAUGGGGAAAGAAGCACCGGCUAACUACGU